GCACUCCAGUACGCUGGCUCCCCAGACACUGACUCCUCUGCCGGAGAACCGGUGGCAUACCGGACGAAACUCAUAUAGCCGGGAUGAACAUCACAGUUGAAUGGUGGACAAAUCUACAUAACUCCGUCGCCUUGGAUGUCACUCUCAAGUCACAGCAGGAAGUACUGCCAUCUUGCUUACAGAUGGGACUGGUUUUGGAUAAUCCAUGGGCCAGACAUCACCAACCUACCUUUCCCCGAUGGCCCUGAUGCCGCUUGAAAUAAAGGGACACAAACCAGCUAAAUACACAGCCUCAUGCCUUCAUCGAUAUACUCCCAAGCUGAUGGAAACAUCUGUUAGUGUGCAGAGAUUGUGUGACUGUACCUAGGGCCAGUAUAAAUGACUUCAUAUGGCAUGCUGGAAAAUAUGAAAGAGAUUAAUUCAUUUCAGACUAGGUUGCGGGUCUGGUAACAGUAGGUCAAGGGCAAAGCCAAUAAGCAGAGCCAAUGAGUCUCUCCAAGAAUCCAGCCAACUGACUGUAUUUAGCUUUGUUCUAAAACAUCUACCCUAUCCGAUACCCUAAGAUACAGUAUGUAGCUGAAGCUGCAUUGUGUUAAAAACACUUUCAAUAAUAAAGCAUCAAGGAAAUAUCAGUUAACAUAUGGUGAAUCACAUCCGCCUAUAAAUCCUGUCACUAGUAGGUUUUGAUGAUGGUGGCUUUAGUGCAUACUAUAGACUCUGUCAACUGCAUGAACAAUCAUGUGCGUUUCUAAAGCCUUUCUGGUGGCACAGAAAACAACAUUGACCUAAUGAUAAUUUGGGAACAAAAAAAUCAAUAAAUAAAUAAAUCGACAUUUUGUAGGACAAUACACUAAAAUCUGAUUAAUUUU